rnacentral:rRNA from 1 species
CGGCGGACGGGUGAGUAAUGCCUAGGAAUCUGCCUGGUAGUGGGGACAACGUUUCGAAAGGAACGCUAAUACCGCAUACGUCCUACGGAGAAAGCAGGGACCUUCGGGCCUUGCACUAUCAGAUGAGCCUAGGUCGGAUUAGCUAGUUGGUGAGGUAAUGGCUCACCAAGGCGACGAUCCGUAACUGGUCUGAGAGGAUGAUCAGUCACACUGGAACUGAGACACGGUCCAGACUCCUACGGGAGGCAGCAGC